rnacentral:rRNA from 1 species
UACGUAGGGUGCAAGCGUUAAUCGGAAUUACUGGGCGUAAAGCGUGCGCAGGCGGUUUUGUAAGUCUGUCGUGAAAGCCCCGGGCUCAACCUGGGAAUUGCGAUGGAGACUGCAAGGCUUGAAUCUGGCAGAGGGGGGUAGAAUUCCACGUAUAGCAGUGAAAUGCGUAGAGAUGUGGAGGAACACCGAUGGCGAAGGCAGCCCCCCUGGGUCAAGAUUGACGCUCAUGCACGAAAGCGUGGGGAGCAAACAGG